rnacentral:rRNA from 1 species
UACGAAGGGGGCUAGCGUUGCUCGGAAUGACUGGGCGUAAAGGGCGCGUAGGCGGAUGGCACAGUCAGAUGUGAAAUCCCCGGGCUCAACCUGGGAAUGGCAUUGGAUACUGGCUCGCUAGAGUGCGGUAGAGGGUGGUGGAAUUCCCGGUGUAGCAGUGAAAUGCGUAGAGAUCGGGAGGAACAUCUGUGGCGAAGGCGGCCACCUGGACCAACACUGACACUGAGGCACGAAAGCGUGGGGAGCAAACAGG